GAUGAACGCUGGCGGCGUGCCUAAUACAUGCAAGUCGAGCGAACAGACGAGAGUGCUUGCACUCUCUGACGUUAGCGGCGGACGGGUGAGUAACACGUGGGUAACCUACCUAUAAGACUGGGAUAACUUCGGGAAACCGGAGCUAAUACCGGAUAAUAUUUAGCUUCGCAUGAAGCAAUAGUGAAAGACGGUUCUGCUGUCACUUAUAGAUGGACCCGCGGUGUAUUAGCUAGUUGGUGAGGUAACGGCUCAUCAAGGCAACGAUACAUAGCCGACCUGAGAGGGUGAUCGGCCACACUGGGACUGAGACACGGCCCAGACUCCUACGGGAGGCAGCAGUAGGGAAUCUUCCGCAAUGGACGAAAGUCUGACGGAGCAAUGCCGCGUGAGUGAAGAAGGUUUUCGGAUCGUAAAACUCUGUUGUAAGGGAAGAACAAGUACGUUAGUAACUGAACGUACCUUGACGGUACCUUACCAGAAAGCCACGGCUAACUACGUG
rnacentral:rRNA from 1 species